rnacentral:rRNA from 1 species
AACGAACGCUGGCGGCAUGCUUAACACAUGCAAGUCGAACGAGACCUUCGGGUCUAGUGGCGCACGGGUGCGUAACGCGUGGGAACCUGCCCUUAGGUUCGGAAUAACUCCCCGAAAGGGGUGCUAAUACCGGUUAAUGUCUUCGGACCAAAGAUUUAUCGCCUUUGGAUGGGCCCGCGUUGGAUUAGCUAGUUGGUAGGGUAAAAGCCUACCAAGGCGACGAUCCAUAGCUGGUCUGAGCGGAUGAUCAGCCACACUGGGACUGAGACACGGCCCAGACUCCGACGGGAGGCAGCAGUGGGGAAUAUUGGACAAGGGGCGAAAGCCUGAUCCAGCAAUGCCGCGGGAGUGAUGAAGGCCUUAGGGUUGUAAAGCUCUUUUACCCGGGAUGAUAAUGACAGUACCGGGAGAAGAAGCUCCGGCUAACUCCGUG